AUUGAACGCUGGCGGCAGGCCUAACAAAUGCAAGUCGAGCGGAGCGGCGGACGGGUGAGUAAUGCCUAGUAAUCUGCAUGGUAGUGGGGUAUCACGUCCGGAAACGGGCGCUAAUACCGCAUACUACCAGAUCAGCCUAGGUCGGCUUAGCUUGUUGGUGGGGUAAAGGCCUACCAAGGCGACGAUCCGUAACGGGUCUGAGAGGUUGAUCAGUCAAACUGGGACGGAGACACGGUCCAGACUCCUACGGGAGGCAGCAGUGGGGAAUAUUGGACAAUGGGCGAAAGCCUGAUCCAGCCAUGCCGCGUGUGUGAAGAAGGUCUUCGGAUUGUAAAGCACUUUAAGUUGGGAGGCGUUACCAACAGAAUAAGCACCGGCUAACUUCGUGCCAGCAGCCGCGGUAAUAC
rnacentral:rRNA from 1 species